rnacentral:rRNA from 1 species
CAGUAGCCGCGGUAAUACGUAGGUGGCAAGCGUUGUCCGGAAUUAUUGGGCGUAAAGGGCUCGCAGGCAGUUUCUUAAGUCUGAUGUGAAAGCCCCCGGCUCAACCGGGGAGGGUCAUUGGAAACUGGGAAACUUGAGUGCAGAAGAGGAGAGUGGAAUUCCACGUGUAGCGGUGAAAUGCGUAGAGAUGUGGAGGAACACCAGUGGCGAAGGCGACUCUCUGGUCUGUAACUGACGCUGAGGAGCGAAAGCGUGGGGAGCGAACAGGAUUAGAUACCCCAGUAGUCCCCUGUCUCUUAUA